rnacentral:rRNA from 1 species
AUGGAGGAGCAAGGCCGCAAUGGGCGGGCCGCGGCGGCAGAGUCGUCGGUGCCACUGCUGGAGAAGAAGGCGGACGGCGUGCUGUACGUGGAGGGCUGCCCCGGGUGCGCGGUGGACCGGCGGAAGGCGGCGAAUCCGGGCAUCCCCUACGGCACCUUCAUCUACGUCUGGACCGUCACCCUCUGCACCGGGGUGGGGAGGGUUCCAUUCCAUUGCCUUGCCUGCCUGCAAACAAUGGCGGCGGCCAAUGGGGAGGAGGAGGGGACUUCGCCGCUGCUGAGCAAGGAGGAGGAGCGCCGGUACCACCCGGGCUGCCCGGGCUGCGACCACGACCGGAGGAAGGAGCUCCGCACCGGGCUGCCGUACAAGGAAUUCUCCUACGUUUGGAUGAUCUGUCUUACCACCGCUUUACCAAUAUCGUCACUGUUCCCCUUCUUGUAUUUCAUGAUAAGAGAUUUGCAUGUUGCAAAAAGAACAGAAGAUAUUGGGUUCUAUGCUGGAUUUGUAGGUGCUUCUUUUAUGUUUGGUAGAUGUUUGACUUCAACUCUUUGGGGAAUAGCAGCAGAUCGUAUUGGGAGGAAGCCUGUUGUUAUGUUUGGCAUUCUCUCUGUGGUAAUAUUUAAUACUUUGUUUGGGCUUAGCGUCACAUAUUGGAUGGCAAUAGCUGCAAGGUUUCUCCUUGGCGCUUUAAAUGGCUUACUUGGACCAAUGAAGGCUUAUGCUAUUGAAGUUUGCCGACCUGAACAUGAACCUCUAGCACUAUCACUUGUCAGCACGGCAUGGGGAAUAGGUCUCAUCAUUGGUCCUGCUCUUGGAGGCUACCUUGCACUGCCUGCAGAAAAAUACCCAAAUAUAUUUUCGCCUGACUCAUUAUUUGGAAGGUUCCCGUACUUCUUACCAUGCUUAUGCACAUCAGUCUUUGCUGCCAUUGUUCUGAUAAGCUGCAUAUGGAUGCCGGAGACGUUACACAAGCAUAAAGUCAGUGAUGAUGGAAAUCAAAGUGUUGAAGCUUUGGAGGCCCAUCUGAUUGAUCCAAAAGAGGAGGUGUUCUCUCUAUGGGCUGAAAGUGAGAGGAAGUAUGGUGGACUGAGUUUAUCAUCUGAAGAUGUAGGUCAAACACUUGCAAUUACAGGUGCCAGUCUUCUUGUGUAUCAACUAUUUAUGUACCCAUCCAUCAUUCAAGUUCUUGGACCUAUCAAAUCUUCUCAGAUCGCAGCUGUUCUGUGCAUACCUAUUCUCUUUGCCUACCCCUAUAUGACGUACCUGUCAGGACCUGGAUUAUCGAUCGUACUGAAUAUUGCAUCAGUCAUAAAAAAUAAUCUUGGUGUUACCAUCAUCACAGGCACUUUCAUCCUUCAAAACAAUGCAGUGCCUCAGAACCAAAGAGGAGCAGCAAAUGGAUUAGCCAUGACUGGAAUGUCCUUUUUCAAGGCAGUUGCCCCUGCAGGUGCUGGCAUUGUGUUCUCGUGGGCGCAGAAACGCCAGCAUGCUUUCUUCUUUCCAGGUGAUCAGAUGGUGUUCUUUCUGCUGAACAUCAUCGAGCUCCUUGGACUUGUCCUCACAUUCAGACCCUUCCUGGCCGUGCCAGAGCAGUAUGAAAGAAACUAG